UGGUAUCCACACGGAGAUGCCUGAUCGAAGCAUCGAGACUACCGAUGUGCUAGCACCUUACCGUCCUUGAUCUUUAGUUUUAGAUCUUACCCUAUUGCUAUUAGAAAUAGUUGAAUAGGGCCUUGCACAAACCCUUUGUGCUGAAUCGUAAGGAUUCUUCUAAAUCACCAAGAAAAAUAAAAAAUCCUUCUUGAUUUUCUUUCUCUCUC
rnacentral:lncRNA from 1 species